GAGACACUUGAGAAGGAAUUUAUUGCCAGCUAAAAUAGGCCAAAGGCAACUCAUGUGACUCGGGUUAUAUAAGGCUAUGAAACACAUUCUUUUAAGUCCAACUUCGAGUCCUGGCCAGUUGGAUUAGUGACUACAGGUGCUGAGGAAGGAAGAGGAAAGUAGCUGGUAGUUACCACAUCUAAUUAAUAAAAUGAGUUUUUUAUUCUGCUUGCUUUAAUUAUUAUUCAAAAUGAUACUUUUUUUGUAAACAACUAUAUUGAAGCAACAAGGUCUCGAUGUCAAGGGAUUAACAAAAAGUGCACCAGUGAAUGAGGAAGUUCCACCGUUGCUGGAGGGAGGCGGGAAAAUAGAGGUAUGGCGAAUCAAUGGCAGUGCCAAAACUCCAUUGCUUGCAGAGAAUAUUGGUAAAUUUUAUAGUGGAGACUGCUACAUCAUUCUUUACACCUACCACUCUGGUGAGAGGAAAGAAGAUUAUUUCUUGUGCUCUUGGUUUGGAAAGGAUAGCAUCGAGAAGAUCAAAAGAUGGCUACGCGGUUGACGAAUACAAUGUCCAACUCACUAAAAGGGAGGCCUGUUUAGAGUCAUAUAUUUCAAGGCAAAGAGCCACCCCAAUUUAUUGCCCUCUUUCAACCUUUUGUGGUGCUUAAGGUGGUAGUCUUAUAAAGCUUCUUUCUUAACUCAUCUCUUUUGAUUAGAAUCACGUUGUAGUUUCUUUUACAAGGUUCUGAUGUGGAACUGAGAGGGUCCUUGAGAGACAUAGAUAACCAUCAUUUUCUUAAUGAAUUCUGGUGUAGGGUGGCUUGAGC